rnacentral:rRNA from 1 species
UACGUAGGGGGCAAGCGUUGUCCGGAAUCAUUGAGCGUAAAGAGCGUGUAGGCGGCUUGGUAAGUCCGCUGUGAAAGUCCAGGGCUCAACCCUGGAAUGCCGGUGGAAACUGUCAAGCUUGAGUCCGGAAGAGGCGAGUGGAAUUCCUGGUGUAGCGGUGAAAUGCGCAGAUAUCAGGAGGAACACCAAUGGCGAAGGCAGCUCGCUGGGACGGUACUGACGCUGAGACGCGAAAGCGUGGGGAGCAAACAGG